ACGACUUCACCCCAAUCACCGACCCCACCCUCGACGCCUGCCUCGCAUUGCGCGUUGGCUCAGCGGCUUCAGGUGUUGCCGACUUUCGUGGUGUGACGGGCGGUGUGUACAAGACCCGGGAACGUAUUCACCGUGGUGUGCUGACCCACGGUUACUAGCAACUCCAACUUCAUGCAGGCGAGUUGCAGCCUACAAUCUGAACUGAGACCGAUUUUGAUGGGAUUAGCUCCCCCUCGCGGGUUGGCUGCCCGUUGUGACCGGCCAUUGUAGCGUGUGUGUAGCCCAAGGCGUAAAGGCCGUGCUGACUUGACGUCAUCCCCGCCUUACUCCGCGUUGAUAGCGGCGGUCCCGCUAGACAUCCUAACUAGCGGAAGGGGUUGCGCUCGUUGCGGGACUGAACCCAACAUCUCACGACACGAGCUGACGACAGCCAUGCAACACCUGAGCAAUACCCCCAAAAGGAAACCCC
rnacentral:rRNA from 1 species